rnacentral:piRNA from 1 species
UGUUAUUCUAGGGCUGCUGCUGCCCUUUU